AAUUUUUGUCAAUGGGGAAAACCCUGAACAAGCAACGCCGCGUGGAGGACGAAGACCUUCGGGUUGUAAACUCCUGUCGGAGGGGACGAAAGCGAUCGAGGCUAAUAUCCUCGGUCGUUGACGGUACCCUACGAGGAAGCCCCGGCUAACUCCGUGCCAGCAGCCGCGGUAAUACGGGGGGGGCAAGCGUUGUUCGGAAUUACUGGGCGUAAAGGGCGCGUAGGCGGGCGGACAAGUCUCUCGUGAAAGCCCACGGCUCAACCGUGGAAUUGCGGGAGAUACUGUCUGUCUUGAGUCCGGGAGAGGAGGGUGGAAUUCCCAGUGUAGCGGUGAAAUGCGUAGAUAUUGGGAGGAACACCGGUGGCGAAGGCGGCUCUCUGGACCGGUACUGACGCUGAGGCGCGAAAGCUAGGGGAGCAAACGGGAUUAGAUACCCCGGUAGUCCUAGCCGUAAACGAUGAGCACUUGGUGUGGCGGGUAUCGACCCCCGCCGUGCCGAAGCUAACGCAUUAAGUGCUCCGCCUGGGGAGUACGGUCGCAAGGCUG
rnacentral:rRNA from 1 species